AGAGUUUGAUCAUGGCUCAGGACGAACGCUGGCGGCGUGCUUAACACAUGCAAGUCGAGCGAUGAAACACCUUCGGGUGUGAAUUAGCGGCGAACGGGUGAGGAACACGUGAAGAAUCUGCCUUCAACUCUGGGAUAACUCCGGGAAACCGGGGCUAAUACCGGAUAUGAGCCUUGAUCGCAUGAUCGGGGCUGGAAAGUUUUUCGGUUGAAGAUGACUUCGCGGCCUAUCAGCUUGUUGGUGAGGUAAUGGCUCACCAAGGCGACGACGGGUAGCCGGCCUGAGAGGGCGACCGGCCACACUGGGACUGAGACACGGCCCAGACUCCUACGGGAGGCAGCAGUGGGGAAUAUUGGGCAAUGGAGGAAACUCUGACCCAGCGACGCCGCGUGAGGGAUGAAGGCCUUCGGGUUGUAAACCUCUUUCAGUAGGGAAGAAGCGAAAGUGACGGUACCUACAGAAGAAGCACCGGCUAACUAUGUGCCAGCAGCCGCGGUAAUACAUAGGGUGCAAGCGUUGUCCGGAAUUAUUGGGCGUAAAGAGCUCGUAGGUGGUUCGAUACGUCGGAUGUGAAAAUCAGGGGCUCAACCCCUGACCUGCAUCCGAUACGGUCGAGCUGGAGUUUGGUAGGGGAGACUGGAAUUCCUGGUGUAGCGGUGGAAUGCGCAGAUAUCAGGAGGAACACCGAUGGCGAAGGCAGGUCUCUGGGCCAAUACUGACACUGAGGAGCGAAAGCGUGGGGGAGCGAACAGGAUUAGAUACCCUGGUAGUCCACGCCGUAAACGGUGGGCGCUAGUUGUGCGAACCUUUCCACCGGUUUGUGCGACGCAGCUAACGCAUUAAGCCGCCCCCGCCUGGGGAGUACCGAUUCGCCAGAAUUAAAACUCAAAGGAAUUGAACGGGGCCCCGGCACAAGCAG
rnacentral:rRNA from 1 species